rnacentral:rRNA from 1 species
CCUACGGGUGGCAGCAGUAGGGAAUCUUCCACAAUGGACGAAAGUCUGAUGGAGCAAUGCCGCGUGAGUGAAGAAGGGUUUCGGCUCGUAAAACUCUGUUGUUAGAGAAGAACGGGCGUGAGAGUAACUGCUCACGUCGCGACGGUAUCUAACCAGAAAGUCACGGCUAACUACGUGCCAGCAGCCGCGGUAAUACGUAGGUGGCAAGCGUUGUCCGGAUUUAUUGGGCGUAAAGCGAGCGCAGGCGGUCUUCUAAGUCUGAUGUGAAAGCCUUCGGCUUAACCGGAGAAGUGCAUCGGAAACUGGGAAACUUGAGUGCAGAAGAGGACAGUGGAACUCCAUGUGUAGCGGUGAAAUGCGUAGAUAUAUGGAGGAACACCAGUGGCGAAGGCGGCUGUCUAGUCUGUAACUGACGCUGAGGCUCGAAAGCA